rnacentral:rRNA from 1 species
AUGAACGCUGGCGGCGUGCCUAAUACAUGCAAGUCGAACGAAACUUCUUUAUCACCGAGUGCUUGCACUCACCGAUAAAGAGUUGAGUGGCGAACGGGUGAGUAACACGUGGGCAACCUGCCCAAAAGAGGGGGAUAACACUUGGAAACAGGUGCUAAUACCGCAUAACCAUAGUUACCGCAUGGUAACUAUGUAAAAGGUGGCUAUACUACCGCUUUUGGAUGGGCCCGCGGCGCAUUAGCUAGUUGGUAGGGUAAAGGCUUACCAAGGCAAUGAUGCGUAGCCGAAUUGAGAGGUUGAUCGGCCACAUUGGGACUGAGACACGGCCCAAACUCCUACGGGAGGCAGCAGUAGGGAAUCUUCCACAAUGGGCGAAAGCCUGAUGGAGCAACGCCGCGUGGGUGAAGAAGGUCUUCGGAUCGUAAAACCCUGUUGUUAGAGAAGAAAGUGCGUGAGAGUAACUGUUCACGUUUCGACGGUAUCUAACCAGAAAGCCACGGCUAACUACGU